UACAGAGGAGCCAAGCGUUGUCCGGAUUGACUGGGCGUAAAGCGCACGCAGGCGGUCUGGCGCGUGGGGUGUGAAAUCUGGCCGCUUAACGGCCAGGCGCCAUCCCAUACGGCUAGACUGGAGGGCUGCAGAGGUCGAUGGAAUUGCCGGUGUAGUGGUGAAAUGCGUAGAUAUCGGGAGGAACACCGGUGGCGAAGGCGGCGACCUGGGUAGAUACUGACGCUGAGGUGCGAAAGCGUGGGGAGCAAACAGG
rnacentral:rRNA from 1 species